rnacentral:rRNA from 1 species
UACGUAGGGGGCAAGCGUUGUCCGGAUUUAUUGGGCGUAAAGAGCGUGUAGGCGGCCAGGUAGGUCGGUUGUGAAAACUGGAGGCUCAACCUCCAGACGUCGACCGAAACCAUCUGGCUAGAGUCCGGAAGAGGAGAGUGGAAUUCCUGGUGUAGCGGUGAAAUGCGCAGAUAUCAGGAGGAACACCAAUAGCGAAGGCAGCUCGCUGGGACGGUACUGACACUGAGGCGCGAAAGCGUGGGGAGCGAACAGG